AGGGUGUGGUGGGAGAGGACUGGCCCGUGCUGUGGGAAGUGCUCACACGCACUCACACCCAGUCACACACACACUCAUACAUACACACAGGCCGCACACACACCCACUCACACAUAGGCACAGGCACACACACACACACCUCUACACACAGGCACACUCACCUUUACUCGCACACACUUAUACAUAUGCACAGCCACACUCACACACACACACUUACACACAGGCACACACACAUACAUACACCUAUACAUACAGGCACUCACACCCACUCACACACACACAUACACACAGGCACAGGCACUCACACCCACUCACACAUACAGGCACAGGCACACACAUGCACUUACACACAGGUACACUCACCCUCACGCACAUGUAUACAUACUUACACACAAGCACACUCACACACUUAUACACACAGCCACACUCACACCCC
rnacentral:lncRNA from 1 species